rnacentral:rRNA from 1 species
CCCUUAGAUGUCCUGGGCUGCACGCGCGCUACACUGAUGUGUCCAGUAAGCACCUAACCUCUUCCGAAAGGAACGGGUAACCUUUGCAAAGCACAUCGUGAUGGGGAUAGAUUAUUGCAAUUAUUAGUCUUGAACGAGGAAUUCCUAGUAAGCACAAGUCAUCAGCUUGUGUUGAUUACGUCCCUGCCCUUUGUACACACCGCCCGUCGCUCCUACCGAUUGAAUGUUCCGGUGAGCUCUUCGGACUUUCAUCAUGCUGGUUUCCAGUUUUGAUGAAGGAAAGUCUUGCGAACCUUAUCAUUUAGAGGAAGGAGAAGUCGUAACA